rnacentral:misc_RNA from 1 species
GUGAAUCAUCGAAUUUUUGAACGCAAAUUGCACUCUCUUCGGAGAAUAUGCCUGUUUGAGGGUCAGGACAAAAAAAAUAGACAUAGUAGCUGAUUUGGCGGUGACAUUCGUCGGAACUAGGAUAAUAUUAAACCUUUGGGCUUUAAGCGGCUUAAACUUUUCUUUACGGAUUCCACGAACGUUUUUAAGAUUUACUUCUUACACACGUUUAUGGUAUCGAUCUUUAUUAGACGUGGCGGUUGCAUCGGAUCUCGUGC